UACGUAGGGGGCAAGCGUUGUCCGGAAUUAUUGGGCGUAAAGAGCGUGUAGGCGGCCAGAUAAGUCCGCUGUGAAAUCUCGAGGCUCAACUUCGAGCUGUCGGUGGAAACUAUCUGGCUAGAGUCCGGAAGAGGCGAGUGGAAUUCCUGGUGUAGCGGUGGAAUGCGCAGAUAUCAGGAGGAACACCAAUAGCGAAGGCAGCUCGCUGGGACGGUACUGACGCUGAGGUGCGAAAGCGUGGGGAGCGAACAGG
rnacentral:rRNA from 1 species